GAUGAACGCUGACAGAAUGCUUAACACAUGCAAGUCAACUGUGGCGGACGGGUGAGUAACGCGUAAAGAACUUGCCUCACAGCUAGGGACAACCUUUGGAAACGAAUGCUAAUCCCUGAAACUGUGAGAGAUCUUUGCGUCCCAUUAGCUCGUUGGAGAGGUAACGGCUCACCAAGGCGAUGAUGGGUAGCCGGCCUGAGAGGGAGAUCGGCCACAAGGGGACUGAGACACGGCCCUUACGCCUACGGGAGGCAGCAGUGGGGAAUAGUGGACAAUGGACCAAAGUCUGAUCCAGCAAUUCUGUGUGCAAGAUGAAGUUUUCGGAAUGUAAAGGGCUUUCAGUUGGGAAGCGGUACCAACAGAAGAAGUGACGGCUAAAUACGUGCCAGCAGCCGCGGUAAUUC
rnacentral:rRNA from 1 species